rnacentral:lncRNA from 1 species
UUUUGUUUUCAGAUGGUGUUACCUACAGCUUUGACAGGCUGAUGAAUGAAGGAGAAGCAAUAUGACAUUGCACAAUGAUUCAUGUCAAUGAGUUCGAACAACCUAAAAGGAAAGAAUUUUUUCUGAUCAGAAUAUGGUGAGAACAAAUUGCAAUUUAAGUAAUGUUUUGAUUUCUGAAAAUAGGAAAAUAAUGAAUGGGAAAAAUAUGGAUAAAACACUAAAUUAAGUAUGUCUGUGUUGAAAAAGACAGAAUAUGCCAAUAUGGCACGGUACUAAAAAAAAAAAAAAAAAAAAAAAAAUCAUGAUGCUUACUAUUGGAUGUGUAUAGAAUUUCAUUGACGUGUUCAAAUAUGUCACAAAAAUCUGUUCGUCUUGGGAGAUUAAAUAAUGGUUGCAAUAUUUUUGUUUUGUUUUAUUUAAUAAAUAUAAUGUUGAAUGAUUUUGUAUACUAGUACAAAUGUAUACUUAAAUUUUUAUGUAUGAUGGUUAAAUUUUUUAAUUUAGAUUUCUUUGUCUACAGUUUGAGGGACACUGAUUCCCUAGUGGUUUUCCACGUGAAUUGUAGGCAAAGGGAUUUGUCCUUUUCAAAGUGUGACUAAUGCUGUCUUCUUAAGUACAAAUAAACAAUUUGUUAUUGGUUAAUAUAUUUUCAGCAGACGUGUGAAGAAUCAAGUGGAAAUACAAUUGUCAAUGUUCCUGAUUAGGAAGUAUAAGAGUGUGUUUGAUUCAACAACAGUAAAGAAAGACAAGCCAGCAUAGUUUACACUUGGAGCUGAAGUCCCUUUGCUUACAAGCUUUCUACGUGCUAAAGACGUUAUCAAAAUAAUGACAAUGUUCAUUUUGAUAGUUCAUUGCCUUAACUCAAUUUUUAAGUCUGUUUGUGGUCAAAUUCAUGAGAAUUUAUUGAAUUAUGAACUAUUUAUAAAGAACUGUGUAUAUGUAUCUUUAAAUGUUUAGUAGUGUUUUAAAGUAAUUAAGG